rnacentral:rRNA from 1 species
GAUGAACGCUGGCGGCGUGCCUAAUACAUGCAAGUCGAGCGGAGCGGGGACGGGUGAGUAACACGUGGGUAACCUCCUAUAAGACUGGGGUAACUUCGGGAAACCGGAGCUAACCCGGAUACUUCUCGCUGGAUCCGCGCUGCAUUAGCUAGUUGGUAAGGUAACGGCUUACCAAGGCAACGAUGCAUAGCCGACCUGAGAGGGUGAUCGGCCACACUGGAACUGAGACACUGUCCAGACUCCGACGGGAGGCAGCAGUAGGGAAUCUUGCGCAAUGGGCGAAAGCCUGACGGAGCAACGCCGCGUGAGUGAUGAAGGCCUUCGGAUCGUAAAACUCUGUUAUUAGGGAAGCGGUACCUAAACAGAAAGCCACGGCUAACUACGUGCCAGCAGCCGCGGUAAUAC